rnacentral:tRNA from 1 species
AGAGGUAUAGCUCAGUGGUAGAGCACAUGUUUAACAUCUACGAGGUCCUGGGCUCAAUCCCCAGUAUCUCCA